UACGUAGGGUGCGAGCGUUGUCCGGAAUUAUUGGGCGUAAAGAGCUCGUAGGCGGUUUGUCGCGUCGACUGUGAAAACCCGAGGCUUAACCUCGGGCCUGCAGUCGAUACGGGCAGACUAGAGUUCGGUAGGGGAGACUGGAAUUCCUGGUGUAGCGGUGAAAUGCGCAGAUAUCAGGAGGAACACCGGUGGCGAAGGCGGGUCUCUGGGCUGACACUGACGCUGAAGCGCGAAAGCUAGGGGAGCGAACGGG
rnacentral:rRNA from 1 species